ensembl:snRNA U4 U4 spliceosomal RNA
AGCUUUAUGCCGUGGCAGUAUGGUAGCCAAUGAGGUUUAUCCGACGUGCGAUUAUUGCUAAUUGAAAAUUUUUCCCAAUAUCCCACCAUGACUACUUGAAAUAUAGUCGGCAUUGGCAAUUUUUGGCAGUCUCUACAGAGA